AGGUAAUGUUGACGCUCGGGGGACCUCCAGGCUGCUCCACUCAUGUAUAAAACUGGUGUCACAGCGGGAGGAACCAACAGUCGCAGAAGAGCACGCACACAGCCAGCAGGUAUGAAGGUCGUCGUUCUCCUGCUUGUGGUCUGCGCCUCCGUGGCCUGGGCGAAGCCUCUCUGCAUCGGAGGCAUCUGCAUUCCUAGCGGUCAGGCCACUGGAGGGGCUUCGGGCACCGUCACCAGUGGCACCAGCAAUACACCUGGUGGCACCAGCAAGGUUACGUCUGUCAGCUCCAGCGCAACGGGAUCCGCCAGCGGGCCGUGUGCAAACAGCCACAACUCCGCACAUGCCUCCAACAAGAACAAACAGGGACUGCUGGGCAAUGCGGAAUCAAGCGACACCGGAGCCGUCUCAAACCAGAGCACCGGCUGCUAAAUGACUCAGUCGCAGUCAUCUCGGCAUGCGUCGCAAUGGCACAUGUGAAACGCUUGUUACGUCGACAGACAUUGUCAUAUCGGGCGUCGGUUGUGACAUGGAAUCGUAAUGUGCAAUACAGGCUCAUCCCCGACAUGAUUCAGC